rnacentral:tRNA from 1 species
GUGGUAGCUCUGUGGUAGAGCGUCUGCCUGGCACGUGUGAGGCCCUGGGUUCCAUCCUCAGCACCACA